UACGGAGGAUGCAAGCGUUAUCCGGAAUGAUUGGGCGUAAAGCGUCUGCAGGUGGCUAUGCAAGUCUGCUGUUAAAGAGUGAGGCUCAACCUCAUAAGAGCAGUGGAAACUACAUAGCUAGAGUGCGUUCGGGGCAGAGGGAAUUCCUGGUGUAGCGGUGAAAUGCGUAGAUAUCAGGAAGAACACCGGUGGCGAAAGCGCUCUGCUAGGCCGCAACUGACACUGAGGGACGAAAGCUAGGGGAGCGAAUGGG
rnacentral:rRNA from 1 species